CACUUCAUACCUUCAAAGCUGAUUCAACAGUUGGUACUGUAGUCACCAGAAGAUCAUGAUGUUCCUGAAACAUAAUUAAAGCAUUUAAUACUGAGUUCUUGUCAGUCUUUGGUUUUAAAGAAUAAAGUAAUUUUUUUCCUUCACUAUUCUGUACAAAAUGCCCUAAGAUAAAGUCAAUAUAAUCCUGAAACACAUAAUAAAAGCUUAUGCUUAAAGAAAGAAGCUAAUAGCAGCAUUAUUACCAUGCCAGGAUGAGUUCUGAAUGAAGCAUAUUAAAGCAAGUUUAAAGUUGCUUAACACAUUUAGAUUCCUUUUAAUCUUUGACAGUAAGAUGACUAACAGGACAUGUGGUGUCACAAGGGCAACAAAGGUUUGCUGCUUAUAAGUUCAUUCAUAUUUUUUUGUUAAAACUUAUGUUGGGAGCUACGCAUAUGUGAACCUUCAACAUCCAAAGCGGUGGUUGGAACAGAUUAAAGCAAAUUUAAAGUUUCUUAACAUAAUUACGUUCCUUGUUAUCUUUGACAAGAUAACUAACAGGACAAUAUGGUGUCUCAGGAGCAACAUGGACUUGCCUCGGGUAACUUCAAUAUUUUUUCUCUUGUUAAGACUUAUGUCAGGAGCUAGACAUAUUCGAGGUUUCAACAUCCAAACUGGUAGCUCUUCCAACAUCAUUUUAAACUGGUUAUAUAAAAUAUAAAUAUCAAAAGUAGUUAAAAACUAAAAAGUAAUCAAAUUUCACUGAAACAGUAAUGCAAGUCUAUCAAAGCACCUGUUGACCACAGAAGCUUCUUCAUAACAUCUGCUCUUUUUCUGAAAAAAUAUGGCUAUACCUAGUGAAUGAGAGACGUACCUGCAAAGGAACACGCAUCUCUUGAACUCUUGAAGCAAAAAGACUUAGACUGACAGCCAACUCCAUUCCCUUUUUCUCUUCACCACCUAUAGCAGCUUCGUCAUGGAUAUCUCCCCUUGUCCACUCCACCAAUGGGUCCCAAACAAACACCUCCAACAACAUUAACAUUAUAUCUUUAUUCUUCCGGAGAAUGCUUAUUACCGCUUCACAGUUAGACCUGAAGGUACCCUCCGUUCCAGUCAAUCCUAAAGCAGUCUCAAUCGUCUGCGUAAGUCGGAAAGGGACAAUUUCAGGAACCUUUAGUCUCCUCCCUUUGUCAAAACAUACAUUAUAAUCUAUAUGGACAAUUUCACCAGUGGAGAAGUCCAUAAGGAUAUUGUCCAAAUGUCUAUCCCCGAGACCAAGAAUGUGGCCCACCAUGCUCAUGGCUGCCACACUUCCAGAGAACCUGCAAAUCAAUGCUACUCAUUUAAAUCCAUUAUUGUAAAGGUUACUUGAUUAUGAAUUAACUGAAAUAGCAGGCCUUAAGAUGCAAAGUCACCAAAGCCAACUGCAAGAAGUUCGGCAACAAUCUGAAUCACUAAAAGCUAAACAUUGUCUUUAUUAAGCCAAACAACAUUGUCAAAUGGACCAGCAUUGUUAGAUCAAAUGCCAAGUUAUACUCAAUCGUAAUCCAUAAUUACAGCAUUCCAGUCACCAAAGCAAAAGGUCUCUUCUGGAAUGGCUGGUAUGUAUAUGCCAGUAUUACUUAAGUGACAUGUCCAAAUGGGACAAAGUGUAGAAUUUUAGUUGCCCAUCAGCUGGCCUUUCAUUUAUACUGAAGUAACAAAGAAAGAAAUAUUAUCUCAACAAAAACAUGUUUAAUAUAUCAUUAAAUCCAAAGGAGCAACAUUAUACUGAAGAUCAUAGAACUAUACUAAAACAGCUAUCUAUAGAUUCAAAAUAUAUAAAUCCCCUAUAUAGUUUGUGUAAUUCUGAUAGCUUGCAGAAAAAAGAAAAACAUAUGGAGAGAAGAAUUCAGCUAUGUGCCUAAUAAGAGAAUUCAACAUUUAUAUGCUAUUUCAAGCUUGAAAGUGGUUAAUUUUGCCAUGAGAUGAUAGAUUGACCAUGCCACAAUUUUAAAACAACCUAGAAGAAAGAAUGCGAGGAAAUACAUAUAGAGUAUUAAAUGGCCACAAUGUCAAGCAUCUGCCAAUAGGUUACCGGCAAUUAUAAAUUCAAGAUUCAAUGCCCCAUAGACUACCAAUAGUCAGAAGAAAGCCAAGACCAGGGAGAUAACCAAACUGAGAUGCAGCACAAAAAAGGGCUAAUCCAUCAGCACAAAACUGGUCCCAGGGACAAAUUGAAGUUUGAGUCCAAAAACAUUACCAGGUAACACUUAAAGUAGUGAUCAUUUAGCACAAAGUUAUACUGCUGGAAUAUCGCCUAUGGGGUGAAAUCACUGUGCAUAAAUUUGUAAAACCAACUCACUUUAUUCACGGAUCAGAUUAUCGAAUGAAAAGAAAAUUUCAUGUAAUAAGACAAGCAUAUCUUUCAGGAUUUUGUCAAAUAUCUAAGCACUGAUCACAUAAACAGAUAUCCCCAUUAAUUCUGGGUAAGCAAGUUGGUUUAAAAUUUUAAUCAUUUUAUCCAGGACCACAACCUGCAUGUGUGCCACUAGCUUUCUAGAUUUUUUACUAGUCAGCUAAUAUUUCUGAAUAGAUCUACUGGUCAAUUGCCUACAAGGUGAGAUAUUGUGGUUACAGAAAACAUGAUAAAAAAUAUUUUGCACCAUAUUAUGGUUUGCAAGUAAAGAACAUUCUAACAAAAGAUUUAAUACCUUUUGGCCUUUAAAGUAAAUGCUCUGAAUCCCUCACUGGCACACCACAUUUCCUGCCAAAGAAGUUCUCUUGGAGUCUCUUUCAUAAGCUCCAAAAAAACUUUUCUUUUGACUUCAAGAGGCCAAUCCCUUCGUGAGAUUACUCUUCUUAUGCCUUUUUCUUUGAGUGCAGGUAUAAUUUUUCCAUAGAACAUAUCACUGGGACGAAGGACAGGUGGCAUUGGAUUAUUCAUAUUGCCAGCAUCAACUGCAGAAACCUGAGCCAUCUGAGUGUGUACCUGCCAUGACUUGUAGACACUGUAUAUGCUGGUUACAUUAUCCACCCACCGGAUUAAUCCAGCACGACCACUGAUUGGGGUCACUGAGUAAUAACGAAUAGCAAGUGCACGACCACGGGUAUCAUUGGAUGAAGUUAAUAAACUAUUAAUUGCUUGCAACAACUGCAUGAUUCGGGCAUCAAGACGUAGAUCCUCUCGUCCCUUAAGAAGAUAAGUGUACCUCUGACCAUCUGAGCCUUGUAAGAUGAGUUUCUUAGGUUUUGUCUUUGUUGAUAAAAUUGUUACCUGUUCACAGAAAGAGGAAAUUGUAACAAUCCCUUGGAUGCUAGUUGUAGAGCUUCCUGAGGAAUCAAGCAUUGAGAUUUGCUUCUCAAAGCCAGGCAUUGGAACAUCAGAAGAUGAAAGAGAAGCCAGAUGUGGAGCCACCUCACUUAAAGAUACACAUGAUUUUCGAUGAUGAGUUGCUAGAGAUGUUGUAAUAGUAUCAAACUGCCGCCACACAUCUCCUAGCGCUGUUGCAGAUUUAGGGGGAGUUUUUAAACUUAAGAUAGCUGAUUUCAGUUUUUCAAUGUACUCUUCAUGGAACCAUAACUCAUGAGAUGUUCUCGGUUCACGAGAUGUUGAUGUCAAGCGGCGCUCUAGUGCCACAACAAUUGGAGCCAUCAUAGCCGAGUAUUUGGCUGCAUUUAUCUUGUUCUUUUCUGUGUCACUAAGUGUUGGAUUUUCAGCAACCCGAGCCGCUUCCUCUUUUAGCAUAUUUAUACGUCGUAUGACAUCUAAGUUUACAAAACUAGUUAGCAACCACUCUUAGCUAUUACGCUAGGAAGUGCUCAAUAUCAGAAAGAAAACUGAGAUGAAUUACACCAAAGAAUAUAUGCAUUGAUGAUAGAUACCAAAAGAAAAAAUCAACAGCACUUAGAUUCCAUGUCUGAUUGUUUUUUUUCAACAUUUACGUUGUGUGCAUGUUUAUUUGACACAACACCGAUAAUCUUUAAGAUUCUUAAACUAACAUAGAAAAAAGAAGAAUUGCAAUCCUUUUUGGUGUCGAUCCAUUAUUUAGAUAUUGUAACAGUGAAAUUACAACUGUAAUUUUGAAAGACUUUUAAACUUCAAAUGAUGUCAAAACAAUCUCAAGUAACAUAUGCAUCGAAUGAAUGUGCUUCCACAUCGAAUACAUCAACUUCAUCAGCACUUAAGCUUUUCACAGUAUCUCUUUUCAACUCUUACAUCUUGUGUAUAUAUGCAUAUUUCAGUAUCACUAAGUCUCCUUUCUUCAAUAACACUAUAAAUUCAUGCAUCUAAAACCUAACUGAGCAAUAGCAUCCAACUCUGGUAUCAACUCAUUCAACUUGACCGUUAUGACACUAUACGAGCAAUAGAAAUUCAGAACCUCCUCCAACUUAUCAAGUGGCCAUUAUUCAAUUUGUUCACAGCAACAAUUACUUGAGCAAGCCCUAGUGAUAAAGAUCGGGCAAUUGAUUGCUUCAACACAAGAUAUCUAUUUGUCUCAUAGUGACUCUAAUAUUAUAUAUUGUAUGACUAAACUAGUUUUCAACCUUCUUGAGACUUGGUCAGGAAAAAAAAUUCACUGUAAAAGUUAGUCCAACAUUUCACAUGCAUUCUCCAUUUGACAAAAAUAAACUAGAAGAAGCACAAGAUAGAAGAUACAAGUAACAAAGUAAUUGAAAAAGUAUGUCACCAAGAAAUAUCAAUCCAUUUGCUGUUUCGUGGACCAUUUACCUGUAUGAAGAUCCUGAAGCGUGCUCAGCCAGAGCUCCUCCCAUAGAAUAGUUAUCAUUCCCAGCUCAUUUAUUACUAGCUGGACAUCUUGAAUUAAUUUUGGAUAAAGCUUAAACUGCAUUCAAAAGUAAAGUAGUUAAGAACUCAAAAAUUGGAAGCAAGACUUCAUCAAUUCCCUUAGUAUGUUAAGUAAACAACAAUCAUGCAUACACAUCAGGGAAAGGACAAAAAAAUAGUGUUAUUAAGAAAUUUGGAACCAACAGAUAAUUGUAAAGGUGGUUCAAUUACCAAACAGUCCAAUAUGCGUUGAAGCUCCUCUAGUGGUUGCCCGUCGUAAGCAUUUAGAUCAACAAGUGUAGGAUAUACAACAGACCAAGGGCAUAAUUUUGCUAGCAUCAAUAGAAGCCCCUCCAGUUGCUUCCUGACAACUUGUUUAGGAUGAGAACUCAACCGAGCAAAUAGCUGGGGAAUGAGUUCCUGUAUAUGAAAAUUAACAAUAAGUAAGCUUUUGAAAAUCAUGCAUAAAGACAAUAUACAAAUACUUUAAAGCAUCUCACCUGCCAUGGCAAUAGAGGAACUGCAGCAAGACCAUGUUCUAAAGUUUCUCUCAACUCGUAUCCAUAAUUCACAAUAAUAUGAAGGACAUACAGCAUUGCCCUAAGGGUGCAACUCUUGUUUUUUUCCUUUGGAAAAUCAUUAGCAGAACAGGCUAGAAGAUUGGAAGAAUAUGAAAGGUACUGAAAAUAGCCAUGUGCAGCAUGUCCGAAUAAUGAGACCCUCCUUUGCCUUAAUGACCACCAAAUGCCAACCAACUCAUCAACAAAAGGCAAGAUGUCAUGUUUCCUCAUGCCACCGUUUGUAUUAAGAAACAGCACUUGCAGCUGGGAAGAAACAGCAGCAGAAGGGCACUCACCAUCAUAAGACUCAAAUCCAGGUGAUCCAGCUGCAGUUUGCAUUAUGUAUGCUGCUUGCUCAACUAAUGAACUUACAAGUGGCUCAUUUUCCUGAAAAUAAAUGGACUCUGAUCUGUCUUCAUCUGCACCACUUGCAACAUUCACAUCUCUAUCACUGUUAAAAAUCUUCCUAAUUAUAAUUUCCACCUCAGACAUUUCAGCUUCUGUCAACUUGCAUCUCUCAGGAGAAAGUUCUGGACAAAGAACAGAGGACAGAGAACAGGAUUGUAGAACAGCACCACCCGCAGGAGGGGAGCCCUUUGCUUGGUCAAAACACCAAGAAGCAUAAGAGAGCCAGGUUUUACUCAAGGUGGGACAAAGAUUACAGGAUAUUUUUCUAGCUGUACCAAUUAUUUCUUCAAGAAUUUGAUUAUAGUCUGGAUCAGUGAUUAAGACACCAUCACCAGAAGUCAAUCCAGUUCCAGCAAAAGAAGUGCAUUUGCUACAGCCACUGAAAUCUUGGCGUAUCUUGAGAAGAACAUUUCUAAAAUCUAGAUUUGGAAAACCUUGUCUCAACCAGGUCGAUAAUUUCAAACAUGCCUUUGCCCUCAGAACACCAUCAGCUCCAGAUGAUAUAGUUGCCGUAGAUCGCAUAUUAUCACCUAUGAAUGACCAGCUGUCCAAUAUAGCCUCUUCAUGAUUUCCUUUUGCAUGCUUGAGUAGUAUAUCUUCAUAUUGCAUCUUCAAAGCAAGAAGAUCAGAAUGAGACCCUUCUGAAGUCAUCCGAAUGUGAUCUCUGAGGUAUUGACUCAAGCGGUCUGCCAACAUAAAGUUGUUCUGUUUGCGAGCCACAGUAAGCAGCUUCUGACAGAGAAGCAGAGUUGUUAAAGAAGUUGGCAUUAGAGUACGAUACACUCUAAAAACCUUAGUCCACAAGCUACAAUCUUGACAAACUCUACUAAUUGGAGUAAGCAGUACUUGUUGCAAGGAUCCUAGCAAUGAUGGUGAUCUUUUAGCUUGAUCAUGGUUACUUGAUCUUGUGCCUUCUUCAAAAGCAAGGAUGCAGUGAAGCUGGAUGGCACAAGCAGCUGCCUGAUGUAAUCCAUCAAGAGGUACAACAGACAAUGCUUCAUCCAGCAUCAACUUUGCUUUUUCCAGUUCUUCCCCGGCCUUGUGGAUGGAUCCAUCCCGCUUAAGCAUUAAUCGUAGAAGCAUUUGCUCACUCCUCUCUAGAGCAAUCUUAGGAUCAAGAGCAAUCUCACAGCUACUUUUAGGUGUCAAAUCCAGGUAGGACCGAGAUGCUUGAAAAUCCCCAAGAUCAUACCGAGCCAAGGCAUGAACAGCAUUUAUUUCAUUGCCAGCUGUCGUUAAAGCUCCAGAAUAAGACUUCCCAGCAUGCAUAGCACGAAGUGAUUGUAAUUCAGUGAGCCAGCUUUCCAGAGAAUUCCAAUCAGAGACCGAUGUAAAACACUCGAUGACACGUGCAAUAACAAACUGUACACCAUCAGAACCCAUGAGAGCUAGUGCAACUUCAGACUGAAGCAAGUGAGAAAAGUAAGCAGCUGCCUUUUCAUAUUGGCCCUGAGCCUGAUAGACAAGUCCUGCGAUCCAUGAAAAUUGCCCAAAGUUCCCAGCUACACCUGAAACAAUAUGUUUGUCUUCCUUAAACAGGACAGAAAAUUGUGUAGAAACCCAUUUCUGAAGGCCAAUCAAAGCCUCUGGUUCAUAAUUCCUGCAUAAGGCCAAGGAUGCAUGUCGGACAACCUUCAUAACAUCUCCUGCAAACCUAGAUCUGAGAUGGAAACUUUCAGAAACAGAUGCCCCACGAGCUUUUUCCUUGAAAACUGAUGUUGCUAAACUUUUUAGAUCCUGCAGCCGUAACAAACAGUACUGAAUGGUCGCAUCAUAGCAAUGCAAUGCCAGCCCAGCAUUCAUCAUAGGCUCGCAUAUUCGAGAAAACCACUCUUCACAAACUUUCUUAUUUGCUCGGAAGAACACGGAACUUUGUCGACUACAAGCAGGUAAAAUGAAAGAACCUUCAUAAGCAUUGUAAACAUUUUUCUUCAAAGCCUCAACAAAAUCCAGCAGCAAUCGCAUUGGUAACAAGUGAGAAUUGGACGAGGCUAUGUACUUACUGUCAGUUUGUUCAGCAUCUAAUAGAAGCACAUUAGGUAUGUCCAAAAGCAUGCGCUCUAAGGCUGCAAAAGUCUGGGUCGGACCACCGAGGUUAGUUCGCAGACGAAGAGCAAUGCAAUGUCUAGCAGCCUCAUGAAUGGACCACCAAACAGCAGCUAUAUUAUUCACUGGACAUAUUUUAUCAACUGCACAUUCCUCUGUCUUUCCACCCUUCCACAUGUCACCAUUACCAGGUUCUCCAACUAUUUCCUCUUUGCUAGAAAUUGAAUCCUUUUUGCAAUGGCAACUAAAGACUAAUCGCUGGAUCCAAGAAGAUAGAGGCACCUUCCACCUCUGUGAUAUGUAACUCAUGAUGGAAACAAGUUGAUGUGAGUGAAGCUUUCUGGAACACUGCUUUAAGGCAAGUUCAUUCUUCCAACUCAGGUAAUAGUUGUUGACAGUACAAUGUACAAACUCACAAAUACUACUAGCUCUGUCAUUCAGACCACGUGAAUACAUUGUUAAAGGCAACACAACAGAUAGUACUCUGGCAAAUGCAUUUUUUACAGUUACAUCUGGAUCACCAAGCUUAUCAAGUGCAACUUCUGAGACAAAAUUGAAGUAUGCAUGAUCAAUUAGCCUUGCCUGCAAAAGAGCUUCCAGAACAGAUGCAACACGAGAUCUCACCUUAGAUUCCCUCACAUAUGCUGCAUCAAAAAUUGCAACAAGUAAGUCACUGCCAACACCAGCAUCUGCAUGUGGAUCACAAAAUUGCAUCAUCAAGUCUGCAUCGCUCUCCAAAGUUGCAAUCAUCCAACCAAAUGAACAUAUCCAGUCAAGAGCUUCUAGCUUAACAGAUAUAGGUGAAUUAACCCCAAGUGCCCUAACUAUGCACAUAGCAUAUUUCCUUUUAUACUCAGUAAUUAGAUCAGUCUUAGCUUGAAGGCUUCUUUCACUUUUUCCAACUGAAUUAACAGAAACCUUCUCCCAAGAAGCUCUCAGAAUUGUGAACUUACUUAGAAGUUCAACCUCACUUAACCUGUUCAAUGUCUUAACAAUAAGGACUUGCAACUCAAACCAACCGUCGACAGGAGACUCAAAAGGAUGGAGCUUCUCUAAAAUCGAAGAUGCCAGUCUCAUUGAUCUAUCAUAUCUAAGCGAGUCAAUGACAACCUGGUCCUGCAAACUUUCAGCAGCACCGCAAGGAAUAGAACUUAGCAAUGCUUUUAAGUCAAACUUUAUUAAGGAAAUUAAUUCAUGUUCCGAAUAGGCCUUGCCAGAACCUAAAUCUAAUUUCAAUUGGUCAUCCGUCACAAAAUCCAACUGGAGCUCAUUGACAUUAGCAAAAUGCCCACGAAUUUUUCCAAGCAUGCCUUUUAACAACUCCAACUCUUCAAUCAAAUACGAAAUAGCUUGGGAAACAACAGCAUUGGACCCAUGUUGUAGAAAGAAAAGGUAAGUUGCUGCAGUGUUUGCAACUACAAGGUGAUUUGGAUGCAGACGCAGCUGAGACAAGGGAGAAUAAAAUCCUAAUACAGACCUUACAGAAGAAGGAUGGAGUGCCAGCUUCUGCCUAGAUAGCAGUUGCAAAUUAGUUUUAACCAAUGCAUUUAUCUGCAACGAUGGAAUUCCUAUCAAGUUUUGAAACAAAAUAUCAAUAACAAUUGGAUAUGAUUUAGAGAACCCUUCAUUAAGUAUUUCAGCCAGAAGUAUCAAGCAUCUCCAAGAUUCUCCCAUCCAUUUUGGCGACCCAGACUUCCUCCCAAAACUUGCUAUACAUUUCAGCAAACGGGGAGCCAUAUUCUCCAGGGGUUCUCUGACGUCUUCAAGUAUGUUCAUUUCCAUCAUUCCUGAUGCUGUGACUCGUAGUACUGUCGAGAAACAGAAGAAGAGAGCAAGCAACCUCCCAAGCUGGCUGCCAGAUUCAAGACUUGUAUCCUGGAUAAGAACUUCAAUGUCACCCAGAAACUUUGAGAGCAAUUCUAAUGAAAACUGUAAAUUGCUCAGCCAGUGCUUCUGGAAUUGCAAGAAACUAUCCAUAAUUAUCGUCCUACCAGACUCGGAGAGGUCGGGCAUGAAAGCCCAUCCCAGAAGCAAGUCAACAAUGUCAACAAAAUGCGGCUGGAAGCAAUGCCCAAAUUUCAAAGAAAUCAGGGUAAGAACGCUAAGAAGCUGAUGGAGCAAGCCAAGGGAGGUUCUCUCGUCCUCGAGAAGCUCUUGGCAUGCUUUGAGGAUUAGCGGUACAAAGCGUUCGAUGCUAUUAGCAUCGCCAACAUUAAGGAACUCUCGAAGGCUCUCCAAUGCCAAUUCCGCAGACCCAUUCUGAACAUCAGUCUCCCCAAGAAGAGGAAGAGCCCAAGCCAUGAAUCUCUCAGCCAAUGCCAAAACAUGAUUUUGGGGACCAUUCGAUCCAAUUGGAACGGAAACUAGAAUGGCACAAAGGGAUCCGUAGGUAAUCGCUGCUGCUCGCCUCACGGCAUAUGACCUACAAGGAAUCUUCCACAAGUAACAUAUAUUAUCAUAGUACUUUCGAAAUCGUGAAAAGGCACAAUCGUAAGUCUGCAAUUUUGGUGGAUACCAUUUGUUCGAUAGAGUGGAAUGCGAAAAUAACGAUAUCACUAAACGUUAUAGCAUAAAAUAGUUAGGGUUUAGAAUGAGAGAAUCUUUAGGGUUUUGGAGCGACACGAAGAGGGGGAGAGAGGGCUUACUUGUCAGAGAGAAGCUGGUAGAAGCCCUGGGAAAGGAAAGGGGAGGAGUGGGAGACGACGAAGGCAUUGGGAGGGUAGAGGAUGAUUCGUUGAAGGGAUUCUAGGGCCGCGAUUCGAGCGGCGUCGCCACCUCUCUCGCCUGGUCCUUCAGUCGCAGCCGGUGAGGAGGAAGGGGUGGACUCGGCGCUCCCGCCCGCGGCCGCGGCGGACGCGGAGGGCUGAGUAAGAGCGGCGGAGAGGAGAGCGGCUAGCUGUUGCUGGAGGUGGUGGAGGUGGCCUUGCAUCGCCGUCUCCGCCUCAAUAACUGAGUCCUACUUCGGACGUCUCCGUGUCUGCCUUCAUAAACCGGCGACGAGUCGAAAGCCGAGUCGAGACUCGAGACCACCGUCCAUGUUUUCAGAAACAAAAAAUGGGCAUACUUCCUCUGUUUUUGCUUUUAGAAUCAUAAUUGGUCGAUCGGACUCGAGGUUUGGUCAAACCUCUUAACCCCAUCCCUAAUACCGGCCGUGACCGAGAUGAAAGGACCCAAAUAAGCCCGAGACAGAACGAUCGGGUCGAAUCAGGUCCGGAUUGAACUCGAUCUAAACCCGUCAAUUCGACAUUAAGGGGUGCUAUCAUAUGCAUUGCAUCCACCUACGAUCCAAAUCACAUUCCAAACGCGGAUUCGGAUAAGUUUAGGAUUUCAAUUAAGAUAAUUGGAUGAUACCAGUGUUUGUACUAUAUUUUCUAUCAAAAUUUCAAUUAUUUGACUCCAUACACACCCUUAUAUCUUGAGCAUCAUCAUUAAUAUUAUAUUAUAUGUGUGUAACCCUCUAUGCUUAAUAUCGAGAGUCAUACAUAUAAAAACUUCUUCUUGUUCAGUGAAUUAUUAUUUUCAUAUUAAUUCACUUUAUUCAUCGACUAUCGACGUACUAAGCCACUACGUCACAAUCUCUGAAUGAUACAAAUGAAUUCAAUCAAUUGGACUUGUUUGUCCUCAAUUACUAUGUAUCUAUAAUCCGUCAGUCAUCUAAUAUCCCAGAGACUAUAUACUAGACAUGAAACUAUUAGACUCAUAUGGUUUAUACUCGAGUCUUGUUCUAAUUGGAUUAUUCCGAAGAACUUUUUCUCUCUCAAGUCUUAAGCAAAAACACAUGGGAUAUUUUUCUCAUGAUACAAAGAUAAGAUGAUCCUUGAUUAACACUUAAUAAUUAUCGUAAGAUUGAUUGUCACUAUUGAUAAUCGAUUGUGUUUGAUUUGAAACUUUCAAUCCUAUAAAUCUGGUACCUAUAUCAAACUUUGAUUUAACGGUGAACGAGUGGGUCAACCAUUCAAAACACACAUUUUAUAAAAUAGGUUGCGAUCUAUAUAAGAAUGAUUUAUUCAUGCAAUUAUCGUUAAAUCAUUUUGAAUAAAACAUAUGCAUCGAUGGUGAAGUAUUGCAAAACUAAAAAAAUUAUUUGUGUUUAUAAUUUAUUGAUAGAUAUAGAUUAAUUAAAAUGGUUAUUAUAAUGAAUCUUUAUAGAAAAAUUAGUAAGGCGAACAAAAAUGAAAUAAAUAAACGGUAAAGAAAACUUUUAUUAGGUAUUUCGCGGCGCAAAUAAUAUUUCCAUAAUGCAAAUACGUUUCCAUUAAAUAUUAUUUUUUCCUAAAACGAAAUCUUGACCGUCCAUGGAUCACGUAAUGAUCAAUUUAGCGCGUUGGAUCCAGUGAAUCCCCUCAUCAUCGCCGUCCAGUGCGUUCGCAGGCGAUUCAUGUUUCGGCGGAGACGGGGAAGAGGAAUCUUCUUUACGGGGAAGAAGUCGGGUCGGAGGUGGACCGGAAACGGCGAGCGGAUGGAGGAAGAGGAGGGUAACGAGUGUCCUCCCGAGAACCAAGAAAAGAAGCCGCGUGAAGGCGGAGGCGGCUGGGGCUUCUCCUCGUUCUCCAUUUUCUCGAAUCUCCAGAAGGCCGCCGAAGAGAUCUCCAUAAACGUUGGUGCUCUUCUACCGAUUAUCGUCGGUCUACUGUUGCAUCUCAAAUUUAGAUUCAAAGGAAAAAGAAGCGAAGAAUCGUAGUAAAAGGAUUGCUUUGUUCUUGUUCGGGAUCAGGCAGUUGAAGCCAUCAAGAACGCGGGCACCACCGACUUGCAGAGCAUGGACCCUGAUGCUGCGCAAGAGCAAGAGCGCAAAGGGGGAGAAGACGAAAGUGAGAACAAUAAACUUCGCAAGUCCGCGUUGGAUAGAUUGGAGAAAGCCAGUGACGAUUCUCUGUUCGGUCAGGUGAUUUACAAGUUAGAGGAUCCCCGCUGCAAUGGUUAUUCACAUGUGUCUCUUUCUUGGACGUUCCUUUUGUGGUGGCUCUUUCCGUGUAUUCACGUAUGGAAGGUUAUUAUAUGGGGCUUGUCUACUUGACAUCUUUGAUCUCAUGGUAUGUAGGGUCUCAAGGUAUUGGACAAUUCAGUGGAAACUUUUGCUUUCGGAGCAUGGAGUGCAUUGGGUAAUGCUUGGAAGGGGGGUUCGAGGCUGGUCGGUAGGUAUGGUGUUUCUUUUCCUCUACCUCCGUCGGUUGCGUAGGGCAAUUUACAGGAUCAAUUACAAGUAUAAACUCAAUGUUCCUUGAAGGAGAGAGAUCCUAAUUGGUUUUGAUGAGUUCAUCGCAAAUGAUACUAUGACACUUUCUGAUGACCCUUCUGAUUGGUGCAUGAGGUUGUUACAAAAUUAGUGGCGUUCCAUGCUGUAGCACAUUAUAAAGAAAUCGGAAAAGAGGCAUCAUAUCUAACUAGGGAAAAAAAGAUUUUAAUUUUGGCUACUAUUGUUUGAUGACCAAUUUACUUCAGUUAAACCGGCUUUAUUCUGCCUUUUGCUGGCACAACCUGAUAUUUUCCAUGCCCUUCACUUGGAGAGUGAAUGACUGCUGGCUUUGUGUGCAGCAUUUAUUGUCAGGAUGGUUGUAUUAAUUUUGUUUCUUGGUUAUACUGAGUUUAUCGAUGUGAACUUGUUGAUACUCCAACUUAUAUUUUCGGUUUUUCACUUGUAACCAUCCUUGAUUUUCAGGCUAGCCAGUUAUGUCCGUGAGUUGUUUUGAAGUUUUAUAAUGUGCCGUCUGAAUUCACAUAAAUAUCAUUAGUACAAUGCUUUCUAGAUGUUUAUUGUUUAUUAGUUUUUCAAUUCUGAGUAGUAUUUCAUAUAUUGUUCCACUUUGUUAUUUUCUAAGCAGGGAAACCGUUUGGACCUUUUACGUUGAUUUUCAGUCAGUUUAUCCACUUGACGUGAAGCUAUGUCUUUCAGGUUGGAGCAUUCUGCUGCAAAUCUUGCUGAUUCCAUGCAGCACGGAGACCUGCCUGGCAAAGCCACUUCUCUUGCUCCAUCAAUUAUUGAGGUAUCCUGUUAUGUUAACAAACACCAUAACAUGCAUCGAUAAUGUUUUCUUUAUGUAUCGGUCUCUGCAGAUGUGUGAUUUUGUUCUUUCUUUUCUGUGUAUUAGACUGGGAAGACUUUUACAACAAAGGGAAUGGAAGUCCUUGAGCGGGUUGGAAAAGAGACGAUGGACCUGCUCAUUGUUGAGACUGGUCUUGAAGUUGAGAAGGACCCCGUUAACCAACAAGCUGACGAAGAAGAGUUUGAGGAAGUAACGUUUGACAGGUGCUUUUACAUUUAUGGAGGUCCUGAUCUUCUUGAGGUACUACUCUAUCUUCCGUGAGUUUCUUUUCAGUGGUUUAUACUUGCAGUUGACUUUUCAUAAAUUUCAUUAAAUAUUUGGAUGCAGGAACUGGAAGCACUGUCAAGUCAUCAUGUUUUACUAUUUAACAGGCGAAAAACAAAACUUUUGGCAGAACAGAAAUCCCUCUAUAAUGCUAAACUGCUACAGGUCCAGAAAUUCUUCAGUCUGGGCACCAUCGCUGAAGAAAAUGGAGUUGAUCCAGAUAUAGGAAAUGUUAUUGAGACAACAGCUGGUGACAGUGAUACUGAGAUGAAAAGGUUAUGUGACUCGAGUGUCAAAAGGGCUGCUGACAUUGCUGCAGGGUAAUACAAAAGUCAAUAGGGAACUUAUUUAUCAUGUUGCUAACAAAUAGACCUGCUACUAUCUAAUGCUCUCAUUCUGGUUAACUGAUUCUUUGUUCUUUUUGCCUCUCUCGACUGCAGUUAAUACCCUGCGGCCUGCACAAUUGUCGAUUAUAACUUGUUGAAAGUAGCAUAGGAUUAUAACUUGUCGAUUAUAACUUGUUGAAAGUAGCAUAGCAUAGGAUUAUAACAUGAUAUCAGGAGUAUGUCACUAGCAAGGGAACUAGUUAAAUAUAGAAAUGACAAGGACAGGGUAUCAUCAUGUUUUUCUAAUUUUAUGGUACCUUGACUGAAUUGGAUGGUACAUAUGCAGCCAUAGAUUGAGAUGCAAAGUUGCAAGCUACAUUGGUUUGUACUUCGUACAGUGUACUAAUAGACACCCUGCAAGCCACGAUGUUGUUUUAAACCAUAUACUGGUUCAUUUCUUGAACUAGCCCAUUGGUUUGAAUUGUAACUAGCCGCUGAUUCUGAUAUUAGGGUUUGAUAAAACCACUGUUUUGGCAAUUUAGGACUCAGAAAGCUUUUCCACUGCAAAUUUGGUAGAGGGAUAAAAAAGAAAAAGGAAGAGAAGAGUUGAAGGAUAAGAAGAAGGGGAAGGAGAAGGAAGUUUUGGUUGCACACUCUUACCCUAUAACAAUUAGAUUCAGAUUUGUUUCUUUUCGAUCAUUCAGUUAGAAUUUAAUAUGGGAGAACUGAAUAGGAAACUAUAAAGAGCAAAAAUGAUGGUUUCAGUUAAACCUUAAUUUUGAUCAAUCAUCAUAAUGUGCCAUUAGUUAAUUCAAUAGAAUACCUCUAGCUACACUCUUAUGUUACGAACAUAUAUGAGAAGACGAUCUUCUUUGCAAUAUUUAAGCUUGCUUCCUAUAUGCUUUUUGUUUCGUUGUUUUUAAUUUUUAUUAAGUUGCUGUGUUGUCAAUAGAUUCUUUGCAAUUUAUACUGAUUCAUCUUUUGUUCUGUUUUAGCAUCAUCAUGUUUUUUGUUUCUUUAAAAAAUGAAACAUUAGUUUAAUCUGAAGCCGCUAUUAGUAUUAUGGUCCAUGCCACUAAUGUAUGGAUUCUAUAAAAUUAAAAUUUAUUUUUUCUGAUUAACAAAGGGAAUUUCUUCUGUACAGGUUCACAUCUUCUCUUGGGGGACUUACUGAAGAUGAUAUAAUUCAGCGAGCUACUGGCAGACUUGAGACAAUCCACUCAGAGUGUAUCCAUGUAUGCAGAUCAAAUGAGGAACUAUUUUUCUAUGGUACUCGUUUUAUGUUGUACUUAUCAAUUCAUUGCAUUUUGAAUGCAGAGAUUGUCAGAACUCUGUUGUUCUGCAAUAUCUCAACUUCUGGCUCUUGGAAAAUCAGUCAUUUCAAGUGCAAACAAAGCAAAGAAUGAAGAAAUAAGCGGUGAUUCUUUGAAGAUUGAUUGGCCUGAAGAUUCUGCCUUAAAAGCUAAGGUUAUAAGAUACAAGGCCCAGUCCAUGACUGGAGACAUGGAAACGGUUUCUAAUAGUUUUAUUACAGGUGAGUGAUUUAUGUGGGAGUUCAAGUUAGUUGUUUGCUGAACUUGGUGUAUGUGUUUCCUCCAGAGAACACUUGUUAGUAUUUGGCUUUUGCUACUUAGGUACCAAUAUUUUGAAGCUACCUAAAUAUAAAUUUUCUUGUUACUGUUUUCUGUAAUGAACAAAUGCUUUAAAAUACUAGUCUCUUUCAGAAUCAUUUGUUUUCUGAUAAAAUAAGUAACCAUCAGGACUAGUGUACGUCAUUCUGAUCUAUCCGUAAACUCAAUUUUUGAAUAUCAAUUUAUACAGUUGCAUGUGUGUUCUUAGUUGGGUAAAUCUGCUGUACUAUUAGCUCAGGGUGUGUGUGACAAUAAGUGAAUAAGAAACGAAACGUAGUUGGUAAUCGUUUUGGUAGUUUGGAUGAGUAAAAUACAGUCUUGAGAAGCAGAUUGUAUGCCAUUAGUUAUAGAUGUUGGUGCUAUCUAGCACCAAAAGUAUCACUAGCUUGUUCUAAUUUUCUUUUUUCCUAUCCUAUUUUGGACUAAAUAAGGCAGAUGUUUCCUGAUCUCCUUUAUGAAAUGAGAGAAGAGGAGAGUUACUGCACACCAUGAAAUUUGUCAUUGCCUGCAAAAAGAACAUUGAGAGGAGUGCUGUGAAAAUUUUUGACAUAUUUAUACAAUGGGUAUUUUUACUCCUUGUCAGACUCUUUGCUCGAACAACAAUGGCUGAUGAUGCCUGCAGAAUUUUCUGGUUAAGGCUGUUUCUGUCAUAUGUGGAAGCACUUGUUUGUUUCCAUUGUAAAAAAAGGGGAAUACAACAAAAGACUUGCACAUGCACCAGAUUUUUUUUUUAAUUUUCAAAUGCAGGCAGCAUUGUAUGUUACUUUUCCAACUUGUCUGGAUUUUCUAAUCAAAAUUGUGCAUAUUAUUAUUUCAGGAAUCUCAGACAUACUAGAAGCAUAUCUGACAGUCAUACAAAGUGUUUCUUCUGAUAAACAAGUGGGCCUCCCGCAUACUUCAGUUCAAGAAAAGGCAAAUGUUAUUACGAACCAUUUCCGAGCUGGCCAAACCAGUGCUGUGGAGAAGAUUCAGGAUGCUCUUCACUACCUGACAUAUGUGGUUCUCUCUACCUCCAUGCCAACUGUAUGAUAUUCAUGAACAAUGGAUAAUUUUUCUAAUUCAGUACGGUUCGCUCAUCAAGAUUGAAUUUAUUUGACUGCUUUAACCCUCAGCCAGCUGUGGAUUAUAUAUAUUUGCAAGGUUUUGUUUUCAUGUCAUUUAAAUAUCAUUGUAGCUUAUGUAGUGUUGUGCCAACACUUGAUCUUCUUGAUAUUUGUUUAUAACUAGUGUAAACAUAUGAUGAUCUUGAGACUGGUUUUUGUUUUGCAUUUCAAAGAUGGUGGUCCGUUUGACUAACCUGGCUGAACUGCCAGUUAUGAUGUUUGAUCUUUGCAUUUUGCAUCCAACAUGAGCUGUUGGUUUUCAUUGCACCAUGCAACAGAUGACUGGAAGCUCUAUGGCUUUUAUCACAUACAGUGAUACAGGCUAAGAAACAACAACUAAUUGUUUCCCAGAAGAUGAGAAUGCUGAUCAAAACUGCUGUUGGAGGUAAUUUUUGUUGUACUCAACUGGCUCCUUUAAUCAGUUCUGCAUCUGGAUAAAUGAAUGCUGCUUUCAGAUGUUGAUGUUUUAUGCUUACUGCCUUUUGUUUGGUGUUCUUUCCUUUUCAAAAAGGUUAAUAUAUGAUUCUGUGCUUAAGAUAUUCUUUACUGCUUUUAGUUUGCUGCUUUUUUAUUUCUAGACAGACAGUUAAUAUCCUGUUCUUUUUUUUAAGAUUCCUCAGCCUUUCUUAGCUUCUCCUCAGGUAAAAGAUUCCAAAUUUCUCAAUCUCCAAAUUUUAGCUCUUCCUUCUUAAAUUUUAGAAAAAGGGUUUGUGGAGACAGAAAUCAAGUGGAAUUAAUCAAGCUAUGACUUCAGAAACAAGCAUCCAUCACACAUAAUAAUACAUUAAAAGACAAACCUUGAGGAUGACAACAACAUACUUGUUGGACUUUAUGCCAUAUAUCAAAACUUUAGGAACCUAGUUAGGCUUAAAGAACUUGAGCUUUAGCCCACUGUUCACCAUGCUCCAAACACCUCCUGCAGAUAAGGCUAAGCUGAAAGCCAUGCCGAUGAUGCCAAGGCUCCAAUUAAGAUACCAGCUGAAGCUAAACCUCUGAGGCUUCUUUAUACCAAUCCACAUGAAACAAGGGUAAGCAAAGGUGACAGGGAGAGUGAGACCACCCAACAGGCCAGCCAAGCUAGAGAGGAAAGGCAGUGCUACCCCGAUGAAGAACGAGAUGAAACCGUAGAAGACUCGGAACCCAGAUCGGACCCAAAUCGAGCAGGGUCGAUUCGUUCGGCUGGUGUAACCUGCCUCGAAACUGUCGAACACAGGCAUGGAGUAUAUCUGGAAGCUACUGAGGCAAUUGAACACCACCAAGAGGAAUGUUGUUGCCAGAAGUCCCCUAGGGAUAUCAUGGCUGUGAAAGGCGUAAAGAGCAUUCAGUAUUCCUCCUGCUGGCAUCUGGAAGAUGUAACCAAAGUGUGAUCAUAUCAUACUAUACAAAAUCCUCGAAGGAAAAUACCAUCACAGAUUCUUCUAAACACAAUAUUGGCUAUGAUACUAUACUUACCAGGUUUCCGUAGGCCCAGAAGCCUCCAAUGGCGAUAGGGAAUAAACACAAGGCUAUAAGAAGAUAAGCAACCUUAGCUCCUCUCCACAUUGGAACAUGUGCAGGAUGUUUGAAGGUCGAUGGCAUUGUUGCCUGGAUAUCAAGUAACAGCAGAGUUCAUAAACCAAUCGAAAGUGGUGAAAGCUAACCAAAGCUCAGUUUGGCAUACUAAUAUUUGAGAUCAGGAGCUAAUACCUGAAUCUCUAGAGCAAGAUUGUGUCCUCUGAAAGCAAAUGCUAUUAUGCCGAGGGCAUUCAAGAUUGAAAAAGCUGUGGCACCGAAAGAAGUGGAUGCCAGGGGCUGAUAAGAGAUGGAAGGUGGCCUUUCUUGACUGACCGAGAGGACCCAGGCCAUGGUAGCAUAAGUGAUUGCUGUUACGGCUCCGAUAAGAGAGAGCCCAGCAAUGGAGUUGAGGUUUGGAAGCUGAGACAGGACAAUGCACAAUAUUGUGAAUACAAGAUACCACUCGACAGUUGAAAGCGGGUUUGAUGAACAAAGGGAUCCACAGACGAUCUGGAAAAAGAGCUUCAUUGUUUCCCCUCCGAUUAGAAUCAGUGCAGUCGCAGUUCCUGCUGAUAAGUAAACUGUUGGGAAUAAGGCGAGCCAAACGCCUAACCUUUCUCCUGAAGAAAAAGAUAAUUUACUUAUUAGCAGUGUGAAAACCAGAAACAUCGACUUUAGUACAUACACAAACAUUACGACAUCUCUAUACCUCUAGCAGACAUUUUUAUUCCCCAAGUAAGAAGAAGUUAGGCUUAUGAUAGAGAAAUACUCAAAUGUUCAUGGAUCCAAUUUGUGGCUCGCAAUAUAAUCUUAAUAUCAAUAAACAAAAUCUCCUUUAGUUGGCAUUUCAGAUAUUUCAUUUUGCAGGCCAUACUGCCAUCUUUUUCUCAAUAGGCUUCAGGUAAUUUAUGGCCUAGGCACAAUGUGAUAACCAUGAUAAAGAGAGCCCAUAUUUGCUGAAGAAGCUUCAACAAGCACCGAAAGGAAUGUGCUGCUAAAUGUCUCUUUAACAAGUAGGUAAACUUUAAUCGAAACUUCUGUUAGAAUUAACCACCUUUACACCACACACAACACUUUUGUAGACAAAGGUAGCGAUGUAUACAGCAUGUCAACAAUAUGAUUCUUCACUCUAUUAUAAUUUUUUUUUCCAAACAAAUAAUUCAAGAUUGAGCUGCUCAACAUAUUAUGGUACAAUGCAGAUCAAGAACUGCAACAAAUUGGGACUUCAUAUUUGAUAAAUGUGAUUCUUUCAAGACAAUUAUAAUCUCCGAAAAAGAAGUUUGUUCAUCUCCACCAUGUUUACAGGGAAAUGAACAUAAAUUUGGUUGUAAUAUGAGAUCAACAUGGUAAUAGGACAUCAAAAAAUUUCCCACAUAUCUGUAUGUGAUCUUAGCUAUGUUCAAUCCAUGAAGUCAAAAAGAAUGAAGGAGAAGAGCAGCCUCACCAAAUGCAGCCUGUGCAAGCUCCACAUAUCUAUUGUAUCUUCUGCCAGGCACAGCUUCAUGUAGCUUAACCAGAAUCCAGAGAGUGUAAAGUUGCCAAAAGUAAGCAAUGGUCAGAGCUAUCAUGCCCCAACUCCUGCAAUCCAAGUCAUCAAGCUUUAGAAUAGCAUACAAUGAAACAUGUGACACCCAUCUUAUUCUCUUCAACAAUGGCAUCUUCUGGUCAAGGACAGGAAUAAGAUUACAAGCUUGACCAGAAGGAAAGGUGAUGUUCUCUACAGAUCAAUGGAUGGUUAAUUCUCCAUGCAGAUGAACCAGUUUCCACCACAUUGUACCCAAUGCAUGCCAACGAUAUGCUAUAAUGUCGUACAAAGCAAGCAGUAAUGAGACCCAAAAGAGACAGCACAGUAUCAAGCGAGUAGAGCGGAAGAGAGGAGGAGAGAGAUGGUGACCAUCCGAGGAAAGCGAAGGCGACGGGGAGGAGGAGGGCCUGGAAGCCGAUGCCGGCAUUGAGGUUGUGGAAAGCGGCGUAGUGGGCGUUGCCGUUGCGGGACUCGGUGAUGGGGAGCCAGGCGUCCUGGGGGUUGAGCUUCGUCAGGUGGCCCACCUCCUCAAGGUAGCCGCGCAGGUUCACCAGCACGCGCUUCAUGGGCGUCCCCACCGUCGAAGAUAUCGACGGGCUCAGAAACCGCGGCGACACCAUCGCCGGCGUCGGAGUCCACGACUUAACCGAGUUGGCCCCGGCUGCAGGUGCGCCGCCGCCGGGUCCAGGAGGCCGCGGCGACCGCUGGCCGGUCGGGGUCACCGUCUCCGGCGUCGAGACCCCCCGCGGGGUCGCCGGGAUCGAGACCAGCUCCGCUUCCAGCCCGGGCGCCGCCCCCGUUCCUCUUUCCUCCAUCGGUGAGCUGCGUGAGUGAGCGUGCGAGAAGGCAGCGGCAGUCCAUUUUUAUUGCUUUUUCUUCCAAUUUUUUACUACAUUAUAAAAUGACCAACCUGUCCCUCUAACAACCAGUGAAUCAAUCUUAAUGUCCACAUGACCGCAUUGGAUUCCCCAUUCCACGUUAUCUAAAGAAACAAAACGGGUAGCAGCUCGUCGGAUCGAAAUCGGGCUCGAUCGAAUCCGGUUUGGGUCAGCAAUCAUCGGAAUCAAACCGAUACGAUUCCAAGUUCGAUGCGACGAGAAGAACCAGUCUCGAAUUAAACCUCUUAUCGGGUUCGGGUACGGGUUAGACGGAAACAAUCCAAACAGGUCGAACGAUACAUCGGAGGGCUAAAGCGUAAUUUCGAGCCACAAUUAUUUGUACUAAAAGGAGGUCGACGGGCACGAGGAGGGUCCGAUCGCCACGGUUGGUGUGCAGCGAAAUGCCGAUAAAGCCCUUCGGAAGCUGCCAAAACGCGCCAACAAAGAUCCGCAGGAUAAGGUUACCAUGGUAAUUUCGCCCACACUGCAAGAGUCCCUUCUCCGAAAGAGUGUGCGACCGUGAAGAAAGAGAAGAAACCCAAGGCGUCGUUGAAAGCAUCACCUGCCCGUCUUCUGUCUCUCUCUCUCUCUCUCUCAUCUUUUUCCAGCUGCAGUGUGAUUAUCUAAAUCCGAAGCACUUUCUUGGGCCGUCUUCCUUCCUCCCUCCCUCCCUCUCACUCUCACUCUCACUCGCUCUCCAUCCAUCUCUAUCUCUUCUUUUGCUGCACAGCAAUUAUCUAUUGCUGAACACUACUUUUGAUGACUUUGGGACCAAAGCUGUCGUACGCAUGGAGCUGUAAUUAAAUGGACGAAGUAACUGUUAUCUGUAAGCACCGGUGGGGACUCAUCAAUCGCUAGACUGGAACAGUGAAGACACUGCACAUCCUGCGCAAAGCAGCAACACAACGUAACGCAUCUCACAGCCUCUAAACUACUAAUAUAUAUUCCCAGUUAUCGGAACAUUGAUCAUGACACUCGAUCAUCAUAUCCUCCUGGUAAAAGCCACAUCGAAUGGUAUAACAGCUGCUGUGAACAUGAUGAAACCAAAUGCAAGCUCCGAAACCAAAGUUGCCCCACCUGCCAAGAUCGUGACAUCUUGCUGAAACAUGGAACCGAGCUCUCCGAGGAGAGCCCACCUGCCGACCAAGCCAAGGAGAAGAGAAUAAGAAUCUAGUGCAAUCAUGUCUCCCUGUGAGAAGAGACCAUGUACUUCAUCCUAAUCUCCAUCGAUCUAAGUAAGACCAAGCUUAUGUCGCUCGGGCAUGUCGUAGCUUAAGAUCAUGCUAAUCCGUGUAACUCGAGAUGAUAAACCAGCUGAGAUAGCCGAAGAAGACAGCUUCAGGAUGAAGCCAAGCAUUCAGGGACCAGCGGAGCGCUGCAGAAAAGAUUCGAGCACCAAACAUGUCACUUGUUGUGGUCUCUUCAAGUCGUUGAACCAUCUCGCCCAUUUCCUCAGGAUUGGGACAAGACCUUCGUGCUCCAUCUAACUUGUCCACUACCACCUUUAACCUGUUGUCGUUCUUGAGAUUUCACGUUGAUGAUAGGGAGCAGAAUGGUUAGGACUCCAGGAUCGGUCCCUGUCAAAUCAUUGCUGUGAGUUUCGAUUCGAUCAUAAUUGCUUAAAGUUUGAAUUCGAUUCGAUACGUGAUAGAUCACAAAUUUGAGUUCAUAUAUGAACGUCAUGUAUAUCAUUUAAAUAUAAAUAUUUUUCUAAAAAAUAUUGAGUGUUAUUUUUAGCUCUAUAGUCGCAUUGAAUAAGAAUCUAAUGAGUAUAUUAUUAUGUUGAACAUGAAACUAUCACAAUUUAGCUGAGUUACAUUAAUAAUUUACGAAGACUAAGUAGACAAAGAUUUGGAUCGUCGUCGUAAACGUGUGAGACGUGUCAGUAUAUUGGAUCGAUAAAGAUUUGGAUCGACGUAAACACGUGAAAAUAUCUUAUAAUAAUUAACUUAGGCUUAAAUAUUUUUGGAUUAGCAAUUCAAAUUCAAUGAAAUUAAUGAUCAAUUAGAUUUAAAUAUUUAACCAAACAAAUUGAGAAUAAUAUCUCGAGAGCUAUCGCUCCUCUCUCUCUCUCUCUCUCCUUCCAUAGUCAAUUUUUCUUUUGUCUUCUGCAUCGGCAAAACGCCACCUUAACCUUCAGGCAAUCUCAGACCUUCCAUCCUCUUUUCUCACACUCCAAUAGAACAAUUCCCUCGUUAUCCAUUAGUUAGCCACUCCCGUAUGUCUUCUUCUUCCAAGCACCUCGUCGAUCCUCAUAUGCAGAAGAAAAGGAGCGUCGUCUGUUGAUAUACAGCCACUCGUCUUCUCUCUUCCUACCUAAAGCUUCUCUCGUAGCAUAUGCUCAACCAGCCGGCGAUCGGAGAUCGAUGUCGACGCAGCAAGUUUGCUACGUUCACUGCAGCUUCUGCAACACAAUCCUCGUGGUAAAAGCCGCAGCCAUCUUCCUUCUCUUCCUGCCAAUUCGAUCUGGUCUCUACUUGUUCAAGAAGGAUGUUCAUAAGCGUUGAUAGCUCCAACUUUGGUCAAAUUUCCCUUUUCUAAGACUAUUUUUCAUGAACAUUAGCUUUAAAUAUACUGAGAGAAGAAUAUUAGGUUACAUGACCGAUCUGAUGUAUCUGCUCAUGUUCUUGAAGGUCUCUUAGAUGAUAAUUUUCUCUGUCUUGAAACCCUAAUCUGCAUUGGCAUGGCUAUGAACAUAUAUAGAGAGACGCGCCUUUAGAUUUCAGUAUCAUGAAACAUUAGAAGUGAGUUGAACUAUGGCUUCAGAAGCAGCAAAUGUUUGGGAUUCCUACAGAUCUAAUUCCCCCAACACCUCGGAGAAGUCCGAGCUUCAUGCAUGUGAACCCAACUAAAGGACGCGAAGAUCCAGCCAACGUUUCUUGAUGCUUUGGUGUCGUUCAAAUGCUACUGUUUCUUCUCCCCUAGCUUUCCUUUUUUGUGUGUUCGUUCGGACACAAUAAGUUCAUCAUUCAUAUCUAUCGCAAAGAAUGUACAGCUUCACGUAGAUAGAUGUGAAGAUCUAUUAGUCUGCCGUACGUGUGUCAUCGCAUCAUCUCUCCAUUGUUUUCUUGGGAGCAACGAGGCCCGAAAGCAUACUGCAAAGAUAAAAACACGUUUAUUUUGUUGCUUGCAACGUGGAGCUUCUUUCAUGUCAGGAAGCUCCUCGGGAAGAGAGAGAACAAGAGUUCAGAUAGAAACUUUGGAGGAUUCUCGGGGGAGAUUUCUGUAAGAACUGAGAAAAGAAGUCACAAAGAGUCUUUCUCCUCAGCUUCAAGUUCUUGAUAUUGGAUAAUUAUUUUGAUUCGUUAGUCUCUACGCUAACAUCUUUCCAUAAACUUCUCGCUAAGAUUUGCUAGGUUAGAUUCUGUGCCUAUAGAUAGAUGAAAUAUAGCUGAGUUCAUGAGCUAUUUAUGUGAAAUCAUAGUUCCUUAUUAUUCUGAGAUUUCUUUUCUCUACCUAUAACUCCAUUUUUGUUUUCCUUGUUGAUAUUCUAACUACAGGUCAAUAUUCCAUGCAACAACUUGUUCGACAAUGUGACAGUACAAUGUGAGAACUGUGCGAAUAUGUUGUCUGUCAAUUUUGGUGCUCAGUUUCAGAGACUCCCUCUCCAAGAUGUUCAGGUUCUACACUUUUUGUUAUGAUUCGAACAUAUAUAUAUUUGAUCUGUUUCUGUGAAUGCUGCUGUCUGAGAUUAGAACUCGGAACAGAAAGACAGCAGCACAGUAUAAUCUUCAUCAACUGAGGUCAUGACUUGUUGGCAGCAUCACAGUAUAGGAUCUCAAGGACUCCACAGGGAUUGUGGAUCUUCUUCCUCCAAAUGCGCCGGGAUAGAUACGAUGAACUCGACGAAGAGCAUCAAGCAACAAAUGCUUCGAGUUCGCAGUAAGCCUCGUGCAUCAUUCCUCAGAAACACGAAUCUGACACUCAAUACUCCCCACAAAAUCAAGAUUUUGAUGUGUUUGAUUUGUUGGUUUCUCAUUUCCUUUCGCUUCUUCUCUGUACGAUCUAUGUGGCGCUCAAUGCAGCAGCAGCAGCAGCUGGGAAAAGACGUCGUGUGCCUUCUGUGUACAAUAGAUUUAUCAAGUGAGUGCUUCAAACUUUGGCUUCGAUCUUUGGUUUGAUUGUGCCAACUGAUAAGGACAGACUACUUUUAACUCUGACAUGUACCGCAUGUCACUUUGCUGUUCCUCUUUUGCCCACAGAGAAGAGAUAAGAAGAUUAAAAGCAAGAAAUCCUGACAUUAGCCAUAGGGAAGCUUUCAGCACUGCAGCAAAAAAUGUAAGAAGUUCUUCAUGUUCUGAGAUCACUCGGCUUUUAGGAAAGAACGAUGACAACAUAUUAAGAUAGCUACUAUGCUGAAACUACAUUUUUCCUGCGAAUGAAAUCGACCUAAAAUGCAUACUAUUCGAUCAAUAUCAGAGAUUUCUGCUUUUCUUUUAGUGCAACUUUCUACCGUACUCUUUCUGAUAAGUUUCUCGAGAAAAGAAAAGCGUAUGUAGCAAUCCGAUUGCUUACUCUGUGUUCUUUGCAGUGGGCACACUUGCCUCGCAUUCAUUUCGGGCAGUCUGUCGAGGGGAAUCAACAGUUGUGGUGAUACAAUGAUUGCUGUCAAACACAAAGGGAUGGCAGUCACUGUUUGUGUGGCUUCUCACGAAGAACAUGCAAUUAUCAGUUUGCAAUGGGAUUUAGACCGACAAAACAUUCAGAGUGAAAAGUAAUCUGAGGCAAUACUUUAUAUCUUUCCAUACUUUUUCUAAGCUUCAAAAUCUAUAAUUUAUGCUGUUGAUUGUGUAUAUAGCUUUUUUACAUCCAUAUCAUCUCUUCCAUCACUAAAUUAAGAGUACUGGCCACAGCAUGAUUUGAUUGACCUCAACUAUUACCCAUCUUGAUUUGGUUCGUGGUUGUCAAACCUCUAUUCUGUUGACGAAAUCUUAUUCUGUUGAGAAAAUUUUUUCCUCAUCUGUAUAACUAGGAAAGGGAUAUAUUAAUAUAUUCAAGCUAAAACUUCUUCAAUAAUUUUUCUUAUUUUCUAUUCUUUCCAACAUAGUAUCAGAGCGGGUGAGACGAGCAAGGCUCCACGGCCAUCACACCACAUCCCUUGCCUCUACAGAGCAAAAAAGGGGGAAACUCUUUCAUUUGCUACAGCCUCUACUGUAAAUUCCUUCUCUACUAUAGCUUCUUCUUUUGUUGUAGCCGUCGCCAUCGUCGUUGUCGUAGCCACAACAAUAGUGCUCCAUUUGUACCAUAAUUGUAUCAAAUCAAUAUAUAUUCGAGUCGUAUUCUCUCCUAAAUUAAGAAUUAAAAAAAAAAUAUAUAAAAAUAUAUGAAAAGAAAAUUAUGAUUUUAAUAUUAAAUUAAAUAUUUACAUUAGUUAAUAAUUGAAGGUUGAAUGUGUUAGAUACUUUGACAAAUUACUAUAAAUCUUCUUAGUCGAAUCCUAUCUUCGUUAUUUACCCUUUGUAAAAAAAAUUACAAUUAAUACUAUAAAAAUAGUACGCUAUUGAAUGGUUAGUAUGAUUUAAAUGUGAGUAAGAAGAGAGAGAGACAAAGAGAAUCUAUGAUUCGAAUUCGAAUUCAAAUUUAAUUUCAUGGGUCAAAUCUAUGAUUAAGACAUCUAAAAAUUCCUCAUUGCAUAAAUAAUCGAAUGAUAUCAUGCCAAAUUCGUGACCUGAGUUCUCAAAAAAUGGUACUUCUCUCUCAUCUUCAAAUCAACUAACUAUCUAAAACCCAUCAAACUACACUUUGAUCUGAUCCAUACCCUAAAAUAUAACACAAAAUAUACAUUAUAUUGUCAUAUAUUUUUAUUUCUAUUAUUAUUAUUAUUAUUAUUAUUAUUAUUAUUAUUAUUAUUAUUAUUAUUAUUAUUAUUAUUAUUAUUAUUAUUAUUAUUCAUCGUCAUCAUUUAUGUCGCCGGUCCCAAGCGAACCGACCAACGCCCUCCAACUACUCCGCAUCAAUAAAUAAUGGCGGAGAGGACACGACGACAGAAUUCGAAAGCGUCGAUCGCUGAAGCCCGUACCCGGAGCCUCCACCGCCAACGGAUUACGAGCCUGAGGAGAGCAAGACCCGCCGAUGGGGCCGUCGGCCGUCGUCCUCGCUGGAUUAGUCAUCGCCGCAGCGGUCUACUGCGGGUUGGACCCUCUCGGCCACAGCCCAAUGGUGAAGUUCCCCGGCUUCGAGACGCACCCGGUCGAGCUGCUGCCAUGGUCGGAGUUCCCCGCCGUGCGGGACCCGGAGGAUCGGCUCCGGGGAGCGGAGGUCAGGUUCCUUAACCAGGUGCAGGGCCCGGAGAGCAUCGCCUUCGACCCGCGGGGUCGCGGGCCCUACACCGGCGUCGCCGAUGGCCGGGUGCUCUUCUGGAACGGGGAGUCGUGGGUUGACUUCGCCUACACUUCCCCCAACAGGUAGGUUCGGUUUUCGAUUUCGCUUGGUGCUUUUUGAUGUCUUCCUACUUUACAAUGAGUAGUAGAAAGUAUGCCUUUCGAGAGAUUUGGAUUCUAUGCUUGCAAGUAACGAGGAAGGACACUUCAGUCUCGACGUGGACCAGACUCUCUCUCUCUCUCUCUCUCUCUCUCUCUCCUUCCUCUUUGCAUCUCCUUUCUAUUCGUUGUAUUGACGAAUAGAAAAGAGAUGCACAGAGGAAAUUCUGGCUACAUCGUUUGACCUACCGUUGAUCUCCAGACGCAAAAUAUGUAAUCUUUUUUGCUGAUGGCUUUGAUUCUAAUGCUUAGACAUAGCGACACAGUAAAUAUCGACUUUUUUCUUAGUUUUGUUGGUCGAGGCCAAAUUGAUGUGCUCCUGAUUGCAAUGAAGCUAUUGUUACCCAUACGAAGUAACAAUUUUACUACUUCAUGUCUUCUUUCUCGACUGGAAAUUACCAGAAGUAGUUCUAUUGGUUUACUGAAACAAGAAAUAUUAGCAAAAGUAGACAAUUUCUUGAAAAAAAGAAGGAUUAUAGUUUUAGAUCAUUUUGUGAACAACAGGAAGGGUUGUAUUUUGCAGAUGGUAUGGUUUACAUGAGGUUUAGUUAUUAAGUUUGUACCUAUUGCCUCUUAUAAGCAAUCUGUAUGGUGUCCACACAAUUUCUCGAUAACCUGUUUCUAGGAGAAUUCAGAGAUUUAACAAACGAUAUCCAUUUUGGACUCCGGGGUCACUGCAUAAGAAAUGAAUGUCUGGAUUGAACGAUCUGCUUGGCUAGGACUGUCUAUCCGUGAAGCAGACUUGUACAUUGCAUCAUUUUCCAUACAAACAGAAGAUAGAUAUCUCUCUGCAAAAUGUGGUAGCCUUUUAUAGUUUUAGCCUGAAAACUUUGUUGAUUGUUCUCAUUGUUUGUUGAUUGUAGGUCAGAAAUAUGUAACCUGAAUCCGUCACUUUUUAGUUACUUGAAGAAUGAACAUAUCUGUGGACGACCAUUAGGUCUUCGAUUCGAUAAAAGGACCGGAGACCUGUACAUUGCUGAUGCCUAUUUUGGCUUGCUCAAAGUAGGCCCGCAAGGUGGCCUGGCUGCACCACUAACCACAGAAGCAGAAGGAGUGCCAUUUAAUUUCACGAAUGACUUGGACAUAGAUGAGGAAGGUAAUGUUUAUUUCACAGACAGCAGCACUAACUACCAGAGGAGGUACCUUUCUUCAAACUUCUAACACUUCAUUUACUUAGUAUUAGCAUCCAUUCGAAGUGGAAUCACACUGCAUUGGUGCUUGAUGUUCAGAUUAUAAAUCAGGAUCACCGAAUUAUAGCGUAAACGUGUUUAACCACGGAUAAUCUAGUCAAUUUAGUUUUAUUCAUUUUAUUUGUAGCUGGAUUUUGUUGUUUUUUUCCCUUAUGUUUUAGCAUUCAACUCUGGUCAGUCUUUUCAUCUCAAUGUCUUUGUUUAAGCGCUUAUAUAUCAGCAUGUAACUCCCAACUGACAUCAGAAUUUUCUUUGAGUUUAUUUUUGGAUAAAAUCUGGAGGGAAGUCCCAUUAUGGAGAUUGAAAUGAUUCAUUAGAGUAUAAUUGAAGUAAAAUUAAAACAAAAGUAAAAACAUAAACAAAAGAGAAAAAGAACUGGACAGACACUAUGGACCACUCACAGCAUUGAGGUCAAGAGAUACUGUUGAAUUCUUUGCAAUUGUUGCUUUCAGCAUGGAAGUUUCAUCUGUUCAGCUCUAUCCAAAGAAUCCAUCACCAUACUCCUGAUCCCUGCAUGUUUGACUGAAGUUCAUUCUAAAUCUGGUUUGGUAUGCAUGAGGAACAGAUUCCUUUAUUCAAGCACUAAAUUAGGAAUCUUCUCAAUGAUGUUGAGAAAUAAUGGUCUUUCAUAUCCAACUUCUAGUGGCACCUUGCUGUUUGUUUAUACCAUAGUGGCUGUGCAAAUUAACACAAUUACUGAUGACUCCCUUCCCACACCUUUAGUAACAAAUGUUUGCCUGUUAUCAUGCUUCAUAUUCUUAUCUUCCAUUACCUAAAUCACACAUCCCACUUUUUACAUAGGACAAAAAAUUGGGAGAACAGAUAUAAUCAUUUAGUGAGUGCAUCUCUUGUGCUGUCUGGUAAGGUAUCUAGGCAAUCUCUAUUGGAUUUAUAGUUUUGAGAUUCAUUAAGCAGAUAUUUACAGAUUUUACACGACUGCAAAGUUACAGAGAUAAACAAGUAGAAAAGUAGUUAUGCAAAACAAGAUAUUGUAGUGCUAUAACAGCUUUAAUGAAACAUCAAUGAGAUGAUAGUGGCAUGUAGUAGUUGCUUUUGAGUUUUGAAGAGCAUGGGCCUCAGUAUUACAGUAAGGUUUCUUGCCUUGUAGGCAUCAUUGGCUCUAGACACAGAAAUGAACUUCCUCGCUUGGAAAGCUGAGCUCAGCAUCGGCUCUACAUCACUGAAUUACCAUUUUCAUAAUGGUUGAUUUAGGUGUAUUACUUAACAUAUUGACCUCUAAAUAUGUGAACCGGUUCUGAGCAUUACUACUACACAUUAACACCUUUUGACAGACAGUAUGCAUUAGUGUACACUGUAUAACAUCGGAUUUGGUUAGUCCUUACCGAAAACGAUCUUCCUUAUUUUGAUGUUUAGCAUUCUUUUCAACUAGUGGAGGGGUUUUGCUUUCUCAUUUCUGUCAUCAACUAUUAAAUGCUAGUUAAUGGAAUCCCCUCCUAAGGUAAAUAUGAAAUAAGCAAACACCAUUAUGUUAUGAUCUACAAUUUGGUCCCAGUUUUUAUGAAUUAAAAUGAAAAGGCAAUCAUUCUUUCCUCCACAGGGAAAUAAUAAUUUUAUGAUCAUCGUAUGUUUUUACGUUCCAUAAAAAGAUAGAAAAAGCAGUUAUUCUUUCCUUCGUAAUCCAAGUCCCAAAUUUACUAGUUCAAUGCGAAAAUAACUGUUAUUUGUCUUCCACCACCGGUGAAUAUGAAUCAGUGAAUGGUUAUGUGCUAUUCUUUCUUGCAAUGAUGUCUGCUCUGUGGAACUGUUCUGUUGCUUGCUCUAGUGAAUUUCUAUACAUACUUGCAUGGCAUAGCUACAUAAUUAGAGAAAAUAUGUCAGUUUGUUCUAGACAUAUAUCGACAUGCUAGGCUUCACUUUCUGUCAGGAUUUAUUUGUUCAAAAUUAUUUAAAAGCAGAAAAGAUAAACUUUGUAUGUGCUUUCAGGAACUUCAUGCAACUAAUAUUUUCUGGAGAACCUUCUGGUAGGCUUUUAAAAUACAACCCGGUUACAAAAGAAACAAUUGUCCUUCAUCGGGGCCUUCAAUUCCCCAAUGGUGUGACGCUAAGCAAGGAUGGAUCAUUCCUUUUGUUCUGUGAAGGAUCACGUCUCAGGUUGGUCUCCACAUCUUCUUAUUCACCAUUUCCUUGUGUAAAUUGAAUCAGACAAGCAUGCACUUGCAAGUGUAGGUUGAAUAGACACUGGCUGAAGGGAGAAAAGGCAGGAACAUUGGAUGUUUUUGCAUACCUCCCUGGAUUCCCGGAUAAUGUGAGGACUAAUGAGAAGGGUGAAUUCUGGGUGGCGAUUCAUUGUCGUCAUUCUACAUAUGCACAUCUUAUGGCUGAUCAUAGCAAGUUGAGGAAAUUUUUUCUGAAGCUCCCUAUUCCGGUCAAAUAUCACUAUUUUAUGCUGGUUGGAGGCAGACUUCAUGCGUUGAUCAUUAAGUACGGCCCGAAUGGGGAUCUACUGGAGACUUUGGAGGACAAGGAAGGCAAGGUGGUUAAAGCAGUCAGCGAAGUGGAGGAGAAGGAUGGGAAGCUUUGGAUAGGGUCUGUUUUGAUGUCUUUUAUUGCUGUGUACUGAUCAUAUCCCAGACACAUGUACUCGACAUCACAUAGCACCUUCCCUUAAUUCUACAUGAAUUGCAGAACAUGCAGGUUGGUGAAUGCAUUAGGUCAGAAGAUGUUCUUCUUUCUCUGCGCAUUAGUUUGCUUCCUGUCUUAAGGAAAUUAUGAGUUAUUACUACUUGCAGAUUUGUAAUAACGUUUGAACACUCUUGGUAGAUUGGUGUUUGACUUGAAAUCCUGACGAAUGCAUUUUGCUUCUUUGUUCUGAUCCUUGCUUCCUAUUUGUCCAUGUCUCCUCCAAUUCUUGCAGGUUUAGAGUUUAAUCUUGCAUAACAUGUGUUGUCCAGCUUUAUGUUGGGAUGCUUCAAUUGCUUCUCUGCGUCUUUACUUUCCUUAUUUUGAUGUGUAUACCUCUUUGAUAUUUUUCUUAUAAGAUACGUGUAUUGUAUUGAUUGACGUGAGAAUGACACUCAUCGGCGUACCCACAUGGCGUGGACGGGACCCACCGUUGCCUGUUCACUCACAACAUGGGUUCUUUAAGUGAUUCCAGUAACCGGGUGUCCGUCAAAAGUCUUUCCUAUUCUGCUCACCUUCUCUUCCCCUUCGGAUUGGACACUGUUGUCGGGGCCCACUAGAGUUCUCCGCGCAACAAAACACAGAUCAUCUUCGGGAUCGGCUUUUGUUCACGACUGGUUUAUCUGACGCGACAUUGUACCAUCGUGUGGAUCUGGUGAAUGAACGGCUUUCAUGGACCUUCACGGUGGCCCCCGCUAUUUACUAUUUCAUCAGAACCGUCCAAUCCUAUACAUAUAGGGCCGACCACGUAUUUAUUUAUUUAAACCACUGGAUCGAGUUCCUCGCUCGCACAAACAUUUGAAGUAGCCGACGCGGUGGAAGCGAUUCGACACGGUCCCGGCCGACCCGAUCUCGCCGUCCCGGAAAGAUGAGAACCGCGAAGACCUCCGUUCCGAUCCGGCGACCUGCCGCCGUCUUCGUCCUCCUCCUCGCCGCCCUAGUCUUCGCCGCUAUCGUCGUCGCCAUUCAGUCCUCCUCUUUCUUUAUCGGUGAGCCGCCGCUGCGACGAGAAGUAAGGUGGAGCUCUAACCGCUCGAUCUCUUCUCGUUCUUGAUGUUCUACCUGUUUCUUGGUUUCCAGGAAGCCGUAAAUCGCUUAUUGACAGCGAGGAGAUUCGGAUCCUGUCAGAUUUCCAGUCCCGCGUUCAGCAAUGCGUGGUAUGCGCAUCUUGGUCUCUUCUCCGCUUCUCUUUGGUGGUGGAUUUGACAAAUGCCGUCUAUACUCAUGUCCAAUUGCAUCAUUGUCGUCAGGUGGUUUUAUAUAAGAUGGAAAUAGCAAAGAGUAUUUAAGUUCCCUUAGGGCUUAAAGAGUGUCAUUUUGUUCUAUUAGCUUUGGUUCUCAAUUUCUAGAGGAUUUGAAGUUUUGGGUGAACACCUCUUGCUUUCUUAAGAUUGCCUAAUUAUAAAUUAUUUAAUGUAGGGAGACCUCUUUAGCAUUUCAGUCGCCGGACUAGAAAAUUUAUUUUAAAAUCUUUAUAGCAAUGAAAGUAAAAUAUUUAAUCUUAUUUACUCUGAUGUCGUCAGCUUUACCGACGGAAGAUAUAGCACGUGACAGCAUGUGUAGGAACGAUACGAAAAUGAUGGACAGAUAACACAUAACUACUUGUUCAAGCUAAUUAAUAUACAUGCUUUAUAUAGAUGUUUCAAGCUAAUUACACAUAACUACUUGGUCAAUCUUUGAAGUUUAUUGGUUAGAUAUAUACAUUUAUUCUUAUCAAAAAGCAUCUGCAAUAGCAAAUUAAUAUACAUGUUUGAUUCUUUCUUGAAGUUGCUUAUAGCAUGUUGAUUAUAGUAAAUAAUGCUCUUUAGACAACAUUUGCUUGUUCGAAUAAUUAAGGAAUCAGCUUGUUAAGUCUAAACCCAAAAUGUUUAGACAUCAAUUAAUGGUAGAUCCAUCAUACUUUUAUAAGUCAAUCUAAGUCUUAAUCUACUUUCGAUGUGAGAGAAAACUGAGGUGUUAUUGUAACAUCCCAUUAGUCCCGGAUCGGAAGUNNNNNNNNNNNNNNNNNNNNCAAAAUGAAGUUAUUGGCCAGGCUCAUCAGACUCGGGUCGUAAUAUUUGGUAUUAGAGCCGACUUAGCAUUUGAGUAUGGUGAGGGGGCUCGAGUAGGAAAGGGCUACCCGUAGACGGAGUCAGAGGACUCGUCACGGCGUGGAGCCACCACUGGGCUACGCCUCACAUGCACCAUGCUAGGGUCUGAUCUGGAUUAUGUUUGGGCGUGAUUGUAACACCCCUGAUUAGUCCCACAUCGAAAGUGGGCAAGAUUAAGAUUGGCUUAUAAGGGUGAGUGUACUGCUAUCAACUUCAGCUUAAGCAUUUUGGUCAGUGGUUUAGACCAAACGAAGUUGAUAGGCUAGUUAGCCCAUCAGGCUCGGGUCAUAAUAGUUAUAAUCUUCCCGACUUAAUGACUUGACGUCCUCGUCAAGAUCCAAUAUAGCCCAGAAUUGGACCUUGACAUGGUGCACAUGAGACCUAACUUAGUGGUGGCUUUGUAUCGUGACUUGUUCUCUAUCUCAUCCACAAGUAGCACUUUCGUACUCGAGUCCCUCACUAUGCUUAGUACUGGUCAACCUUGAUAUGAUUUGUCACGAUGCAGCAUGAUGUAGUGAUUAACCCAUUAACUCGUUGAGUCAAGCCCAAAAUGUUUAAGUCCAAGCUGAUGGCUAUCAGGAUCUUAUAAGUCAAUCUAAGUCGUAGAGGUAAAGCUCUAUCGUUAAAAUUACUUUGAGUUUUGAAGCAAAUUAGAGAAUAAAUGAUUAUUUAGAUUAUCUUAGAAGAUAGAAUAUGCAUGAAAAUAUAAAAAAUGAAAACACGUAAGAAGAGAAGCAAAUAAAUUUUUAGCUUUUUAGAUAGGUUCACUUUUUCUUGGCUCUGAGUUGUGGACAUUUGUCUGUCCACUGAAGAUUUUUACUAAUGAAGAAUCAGGCUGAAGGAAACUGAAGUGUAAGUGAUAAAGACAACUUCCGUUUUAAUGAGCUUAGCAGCACCAAAAAGCCCUCUUAAGUAUGUGCAGGUAGAAGCCAUUUGUGUCAACAGUACUCCCGGUGGAACUAGUCAAUCUGGAGAAGGCUUCACAGCCUUGAGUUGAUGCAUUCUUUAAGGUAUAGCUUGAGCGCUCGGUUUCAAACAAGAUAAUUUCCUGAUGUUCGACAAACUGUUUUUCUUUUACAAACUACUGUUCAGAUUAAUAGAUCUGCCCCUGUACAUGGUUUACCUGGUCAUGAUGCACACUAGAUGGGCUGGGCCCUUGAAUGGAUCUGAUGUCCCUCAAGUUCUAUGACAUCUAGCAGCAAAAUCUAAGGGCAUGGUUCAGAGUUUAUAGUUGUGCCUGGAUGACCUAUGCAGUGUGCAUCACAAUGAAUCAAGAGAAAAGGCAGUAAUAAUUACUUUGCCCAGUGACCCAGUUACCUUAAGGUGUUUCUUUCUUGGGCUAUAUUCACCACUAGUUAUAGCUGCUUGACUUAAAAUAUCACUUUCGAUAUAUUGUUUUAGUUUCUACCGUCACAAAACAGUUGUCCAUGCACCAAAUGUACUAAAUGAAGAUUUUAAUGAUGAAGAAAUAAAGUUGUUUGAUUCCAAACUUGUUUCUGGAUAUUUAUUCGUAGCAAUACUAUGUUUUAGAAUUUUAAAUGUUUAUUUGUGUUGAAAGUUAAUCAUAAAGAUUAGUUAGCAUCUCGUAUUCUAAUCAACAUCUAGGAGUCUAGGAGGAUAAAAGCAAAUCUGAUUAUUGCAAAAUGUAAUACUUUUAUGCUCAUAAUGUAUCAAAUUGAUUGUCAUAUCCAUCAAUAAAUUUGCUUGUAUUGGUCAUCUACACCUUCACACAUAUGCAUCGACCUUUUUUACAUUCUAUUAUACAAUUAGAAUCUGUUCUUAUUUAACAUUGAAAUAUAUAAAUUCAGCCUGUUUUAGUUGGUACUGACCGUGGAACUUUCUCUAGGCAAGCAGAGGACUCGGCCUUACCGCAGACAUCAUUGACCACUGUAAAUUGGUCCUUAAAUUUCCUGAAGGCACAAAUAGUACAUGGGUCAAGCUCUACGAUCAACUUUUUCCAGGAUUAUAACAUGUCAUUUUCUUUCAUUUGUAUGAAAUAUACUUUCGUUAAAGAACCUGUCUCAGAUUCAACCUUAUUCUCUAUUUUUGCAGUAUAAUGCACAGUUUAAAAUUUUUGAGCCACUGGAGUAUAAAUAUGAUGUCUGUGAAGCCAUUCUUCUAUGGGAACAGGUUCGAUUCCUUUCAAUAAAUUAUCAAUUUGUUUUCUAUGUUAUGCACUAAAGACCAAAAUUUCGCCAGUAUCGUAACAUGACUACGGUCUUGACAAGGGAAUACCUAGAUGUACGACCAGAUGGAUGGUUAGAUUAUGCUGCAAAAAGAAUUGCACAGUUGUGAGUUACCAUGUGUGCAAGGCUUUCUUUUGUGAUUUAAUGCUCGAGGUGACUCAAUAAGAGCUUCUAUAUGUUAUCUUGUUUUUAGGGGUGCAGAUAAAUGUUAUAAUCGCUCUAUUUGUGAGGAGCAUCUAAACUUAAUAUUACCUGCAAAGCCUCCCUUCCAUCCCCAGCAGUUUCGGACAUGUGCAGUGGUUGGGAAUUCUGGGGAUCUCUUAAAAACAGAAUUUGGACUGGAGAUUGAUGGGCAUGAUGCAGUCUUUCGAGAUAAUGAGGCUCCUGUUAAUGAGGUAGAGUGUGUUGAUUAUUUUUGUUUGAUCUAUAUGUAUGACUGUAACUAUUUAUUUAUGUUUGAGGCUUAGCAAUUUCAGCUUCAUAUUUCUGAGAUUCUUUCUAUAUUUUCUUAUAUGUAUUCAGAAGAAAAGUAGUUUGAAAUUUCUGGUUUUAUCUGACACUUAAAUGAUAGUUUAUUGAAAUGACAGCUUCUUUAAGGACCUAACAACGCUUGGUUCCAGACUUUGUCUCCAAGGCCUGGUUCAAUAAUAUAGUUCAGCAUCCAAAAUAUACUGUUCACUUUCUGGCCUUGCUGGAGUUCUCAAUGCCAGUGUAUACAAGUGAUACAACUUAUCAGAGAAAUGCUAGAUUCAAGAUGCAUUAGUUUUCAAAAAAUUUUAAGAUGUGCCCAUACAUACAGACCUCAUACAUAUAUCUUGGUGGAUUCAAAGCAUCCUGUUUUCUUGUUUUUAUUGUGUCACAUAGAUGUUUUCUAAAUGUUUUUGUUGCUAAACAAAUCUCACAGGCAUUAUAUUGUUGUAAAACUGAAGAUACUCCCUUAUUGAUACCUAAGCCACCUUGUAUAUUGUUUGAUUGGCCUCCAUAACGCAAUUACUAUUAGCUACACUGCAUCACUUAGUAAUAAGCUUUUAUCUACAGUCCUGUUCACAUUGUCAGUUUCCUGGCGAUGUAGACACCAUCAUGUUAGGCAGAUCCAUCUGACUUGAUAUCUCCCAGAUUGAGCACUUCACCAGGCCUCAGAAGCAGAAGCUUACGAAUAGUUUGGAUCUACAUCCUGUGAUUACCAACUAAUCUUUAUUUGUCCUUCUGCAGAAAUAUGCCAAACAUGUUGGACUGAAAAGGGACUUUCGCCUAGUUGUAAGAGGCGCUGCUCGUAACAUGGUUGCUAUUCUCGAUGGAUCUUGUAAGAUUCUGGCUACAUAUACAAAAAUUACUGUCAUCAGAUGCAUUAACAUCUCUAAAGCUGCUAAUAAUUGUAUUUGAUAAAGCCUAGGCAUGUUAAUCACAAACAAUAUUGUUUUGUAAGAAUGUUAAGAUUUUUGCUCUAUGAAAAUCAUAUGUGCAAGUUAAAGUUCUUUAUGUUUUUAAUGCCACGUUGAAUUUGCCAAGUGUUUUUGUAGGUGAUGUCUGACUCUCUGCAAUGUAUCGCGUAAGGGCCUGAUUAAGCUUGAUAAGUUUUUGAUCAUAUUGCUCGUGAAAUUCUCAACUCUGAAUUUCGCAAAAUCUACAUCUUAGAGCAUCUGCAAGUAAUUUUGUUGCCAUUAUUGUACUUUGGUUCUAAUGAUAUGAAAAUUUAAUAAGAACAAAAAAUGUUCUGUUUUCAUACUGAUUUAGACAUACAGUGACCUUCUUCAGUGCAUAAAAGAAUAGCUGUCAAAGCAGAAUUUGGGUGCAUAUGGUGAUUCUUGAAUAUGUGAUCUGCACUUGGCGCACCAUCAGCUUACUGAAUAAGAAUGUGUUAACAGACAGGAGCUCAUGAUAGACUAUCUAGGGUCAAAUACAGUUCAAAUAUGGACAUAACUUGAGGAAAUGAAUUAUUAAUAUGUUUUUUUACUGUCCGUGGACAUAAGUUCAUUGGUCAAUAACAGGCCUGAGAUUAGAACCAAAAAACUUUGGACAAAUUUAGCAAAAUUAUGGAAUCAACUUGGUUAGAUGUUUAAUAAGAAAGAAGUAAAAAAAUGUAGAGAAGGCAUGAUUCUAUAUAUGCAAAACUGUAUGUGAAGGAAAAAGAAAUUUAAUGCUACUAAAAGAUUAGCAUAUAAUUUUGCAGCUUCCAAAAACUUCACAAAUAGUCCUAAAUGAUUCUAUGGAACCAAUUGUUAAAUUUAUGAGUAACACUGAAUAAUUAUCCAACAAUUUUGAAUUAUUCGACUUAAGAGUAUGGCGAAUUGUUCAGGGAAUUAUUUGAUAAGGUAGACCUAUAGUCAAAUUGCGAGCUUCUAAUAUUUCAGUGAAUAAUUUAUUUUCUACUUGGCUACAAUUGCCAUAUACUGUGGCAUUGUAAGUUGUUAUUGUUAUAUGUUUGUUGGCAUGCCGUUCCACUUAGUCCUUGGAUUCCUCUCUUAGGAUAGAAAAUUUUGACAGAUAUAUUAUUUAAGGCAUAUACAUUCAAGAAUUGGUCAUAUGCAAGUCUUGAUGUAUUACUUCUGUUCUCUAUGAAGUAUUUAUGGAUAUUAUCUUUUUAACGGUUCACAUGUUAAGUCUUAACAAAUCUUGAGAAGUCAUUAUUAUUCUCUUAGGUUAACGUAAAGUAAUUAUUUUGCAUCUGUAUAUGAAAAUUGCAGCUGAUGAGGUGCUUAUAAUCAAGAGCGUAACACACAGAGAUUUCAAUGCAAAGAUAAAGGUGAUCGUUUAAUGUCACCAGCCCUUAUUGUUAGUUGUUCUUGUGCACUAUGGUGGGCAUCUUUAGAAAUUUUAUUUAUAUACAAUAUAUUCUUUUUAUAGUAAAAUCUAAUAGGGUUGUAUUGCCUCCAAUGCAGGAACUUCCAAAUCCUGUUUAUCUUUUCCAAGGUAUCGUCUUAAGAAGGGGUGCUAAGGGAACCGGAAUGAAGUCCAUAGAAUUGGCUCUCUCCAUGUGUGACAUUGUUGAUAUAUAUGGUUUUACGGUGGAUCCCGGCUAUACAGAAUGGUCAGUAUAUUUCUAAGAGCGAAUGUCUACCUAAUUCAGUAUCACCAUGCAAAUCAACAACCAGCCAUGUUUUACCAUGUCUAUCAUAGUUCUACUAGGUUUAUUUUAAUUGGACCUCGUGUUUGUCUCUAUUUCUUAGACAUCCAUAAUUAUGUCCGUACAGAUUGGAAGGAAGAAUCUUUAAGAUAUCAUCGCACAUUGCUGAAAUUUCUGAUCACCGUAUCGUAAGUUUGAUUCUCGUACAAAAAUCAUUUUAUGCUUCAUAUUUGUUUCUUCUAGGACACGGUACUUCUCGACUCCCAGGAAGGGGCACAAUCCAUUGCAAGGAAGGGCUUAUUAUCAACUGCUGGAGUGCCUCGGUGUAAAGACCUCCGUGUGACACUCGAUUGGCCCGCGCAUAGUUUACUAACUUUCCACAUUGUUGUCCAUGUAGGUCAUCAGGAUCCAUUCUCCUAUGAGAGCUCGGAGGAAGCAGGAUUGGUCAGAUGUGCCAGGCAAAGAAAUCAUAACAAGUGCUCACAUGGCUGCGUUGCGUUUGAAAAGAGAAAAAACUGGCCAAGAAGGUGAUUUGGGACCCUUUGGUAAUUGCAAGGUAUGGGGUACGGUAGACCGAGAUGGACCAGUGUCAGGAUCUCCCGACAUGGCCGACGCUCGCAGCAAGUCAAAUUACAGUAAGUGGGAGCUCCUGCCACAUGAGAGCUUAAGAAAGGAAGCACAAAAACAUUAUGCCCAGAUGGGUCGCGUUUCUCUUUACAAAAUGGACGGGAACAAACUGGAUGAUCUCGUCUGUGUGAGGCACAGCUUUUAAUCUGAAGUUUAGAGAUAAAUAGGGGUUCUGGUUCAACUAUCGGUCCCAUGAAGAGAUAGACAGGGGAGCAAGUGGAAUGAAGCUGCAUUAGUGCUCGAGGAGGUUAGGUUAGAGAGCAGGCCUUGGUGCUCCGCAGGACGAAACUAUUAUUACAAAGCAAGAGUGGCUUCUGCUUUAUUGGAUGGAUUGAAUUGGGAGACUGCAGAACUUCUCCCUCGAGAAUAUUUACUCAAAGACAUUUCCAGGCAAUAUCGAUGCUUUCAUUCAUUUGUACCUGUCGUUUCAACUUUUCACUGGACCAUCACCUUGUUUUUCCUAUAGCAUCUUCUGGUGGUACCAAUCAUACAACGUUUGCUACAAAAGCAUUAAAUAGUAUAGCAAUUGUUUCUGUCAUUUCGGUAUUUAGAAUUUUUUUUUAUUUUCUGUUAUUUGGCCUUACUGUAGCUAGUUAUCUUUAAUAUUCUGAUUUUUACAUUUUAAAAAGUUACACUAGCUGAAACAUUUAAGUUUAUUUACUUUAAAGAUAUCAGUUUUAUCAACGAAAAUAAAGAUAAAAAUAUAAUUUUAAUGUUAUGAUGAUAAUAGACAAUGGUGCCACUAGUGUCAAUGCCGAUAUAGUUGUUGAGUAUUUCUUUCGUCGCUCUUUAUUUGUAUCGGCGUUUCGUCGUCAUGGAAUCAAAGUUCACUACCGAAGCUAUCGCGGAGAUCCGUCAUCUAUCAAAGUAAGAUCCGGAGAUGCAUGCCCUAUCGGAUGUUGUCGGCGGAUGUUGUCGGCGUCGUGCCCCUCCUUGUCACUCGCCUUCUCAACCACCACCACUCGUUCGUGGCCCAGGAGAAUAUUGUCGCUGCCCUCCUUAACUUGUUCAUCUCUGCUCGCGAGGUGCUCAUGUGCACCCCAAGCAUCCUCAACGCCCUUGUCGUUGCCCUUCGUCUCCUCCCCCAUCGAGGUCCAGCAUGCCACUGCAACCCUUUACAUUAGCGCCUUUGCCUUGCUCUUCCCCCUUGUGCUCACCCCACUGUCACUGCUAGCUAUAAUAGGAGGACUCGUUGCUCAAUUUUUACGUUGACAUCAGUCUCAUCUCCUUCUAUUGGAUUAUGAGUCUUUGGCCUAGCUCAACAGCUACCGACAUGUCGAUGGCAUAGAAUGAGCCCAAGUUUAUUUUUGAGCCAUGAGGGCUCUGGCUAAUGAUGACAGUGAGGUGAGCAUGAGGGGGAAGAGCAAAACGGAGGCGCUGCUGUAAAGGGUUGUUGGACGACGACAAGGGAGAGGAGGCGAAGGGCGAUGAUUAGGGUGUCGAGGAUGCCUGAUGUGCACCUGAGCGCCUCGCUAGUAGAGAUAGAGAGAUUGAGGAGGGCAACAAUGACAUUCUCUUAGGUCGUAGACAAGUGAUGGUGGUGGUGGUUGAGGAGGCAGGUGGUAAGGAGGGGCAUGACAUCGACGUUGACGAGGGAGGCUUACAUCUCUAUGUCUUACUUCGAUAAGCGACGGAUCCUCGCGAUGGCUUCGAUAGCGGACUUCGAUUCCGCAACGACAGAACGUCAACGUAGAUGCAGAGCGACGAAAAGGUUGCUUGACAAUCGUGUCAGCAUCAACGCUAGUGGCGCUACUGUCCGCCACCACCGAAACGUUAAAAUUAUAUUUUUACUCUUUAUUUUCGUAUUUUCAUUGGUAAAACUAACAUCGUAGAGUAAAUGAACCUAAGUAAUUUACUUUCGUAAUUAUAUUAAGGCCAAUGUAAUUUUUUAAAACAUAGAAACCAGAAUACUAAAGAAAGAUAACUAUAUAAGAUAAUCUAUAAUUAACCCUAUAACUACAUAGGAUAAUCUAUAAAUAAGAAAUAUGUAUGUCCAACUCUUGAGUUCCUGUACGUUGAUCUUCUUUGUUGUCGUCGACAGAUUGAUUACUUGUCUGCAGAACUGAAGGGAAACCACACCUGUGGAACAGUGAACUCAUUCGCAGUGUCAGCUGCAAUUAAUACAAAGGAAUUCUGCAAACAUGAAAUGCUGGUUCCGAAACACAAAUCAGUUCGCAUUGCUUGGUUGAAUUUUUGAGUUCCACAGUGUCGACGAGGAAAGCAGCAUAUAAAAUCAUGAAGCAGAAAUCUGGUGUCAAAAGGUAUAACAUAAAAUCCCCAAGUUUUUCGUGUAAAAUAAUGUCAUUCCAAACAGCAAUCCGCAAAUCAUCUCAACAUUCUGCCAGCAUACAAAUAUAUAUUAUGCUUACAAUUUGGCUACUAUAUUACAUCUACACAGAAUAAGGCAUAACAAGUUUGCUACAAAAGUGUGAUAUUUGUUAUUUAAGAUGACAAGUUCAUCAUCAACAAAUUUACAUAAUUGAAAGAAGUUAAGGGAAAAAAAGAACAGAAGCAAUCCUUUUGGAUCCAAAUAAAAGCGCUCCCAUCUCAACCUCUUUUUAAGUCCACCUCAGUGAGUGUACAUCAUGGGGUAAGCAAAGCAUUCAGCACAUCAUAUAUCUGCACAUAUUUACCAUUCCUGAAUGAUACCAACAAAGACAAAAUUUAAGUACAAAGUUGACAUAUAUCAACCUCUGAUGCUGUGCUAUACUUAGUUUAUCAAAUUUCUAGACGACACCUGAUGUCGUAAGCAUACAACUAAGAAAAAUAUGUCGAUCAACCAGAUGCAACCGAAGUAUUGUAGAUUAAGCAAUGGCUAUGCGUCUAGAGAUUACAAGUAGCGUUGUAUAUGUCAAUACAAAAAGAUGGGUGCUAAAAGUUCUAAUCUCUGAUCGUUAACAUGCAAUCCAAGACAGACUGUAGAUUCACUGAAACCUCAGCAAACAAACUGGAGAUUGGAUUUAAAUGGCAUGUUUUAGAAACUCAUUCCAGGUUUACCAUAAUGAUCCUUACAAAUGGAACCUGAUAUGGCCAACAUUUGAGGCCAAUUGAGAUACGCAACGCAAAUCCCAAUCAGCUGGACCCUCCCUGUCAGCAUAAGCCGGAGAGAAUAUUAUUCCUCAAUAUUUCUUGUUCCAAGAAAAUUCUCCUCUACUCUAUAAAUAGGAGUUCAUUUUUUAUCCUAGCAUAAGACCUCGAGAUGAAUUGAAUGUCGAAGGAGCAUCCACCUCCUCAAACUCCAUGAAGGACUCGUGUAAGGUAAGUCAUCCUAAAGGAGAAUCCACCUCCUCAAACUCCAGUUCUCAGUAUGUGACAGCCUUCCGGAAGUGGACCAGGUCGCGCAACUCAAUGAUGUUGAUCGAUGACUAAUUUUGUCACCAACAGUUUGGGCCCUAAAAACAGUGUCACAUAAAACCGAGAUCAAGAACUCCCUCGAGAACAUGUCAAUGAGAAGUCUCCUCAUCAGACCCUUGUGAUGAUGACCAGCAUUGUCUUAGGGGCAACAUAUGCUCGAGGCUGGACCUCGCUUGAAGGUCCAAGGACACACACAUCCACUUGCCCAAGUCGACAAGAUGAUUGUUGUCCAGUUGACCGCAUUAAAGAUGGUCAUCAUCCAAUCGGUCGCUUCGUCAAGUUGAUCAUCCUGAAUUUUGAUGCCAUAAUGUCAAGGCAACCACAUCAAAAUCAAGUUGGUCACAUCAUCAUGUUGCUCCUGCCUUCACAUUAGUGAUCCCAUCAAGAUGGCCAUCAUCGGGUUGGUCACAAUAUCAAGCCACACAUCUCGGUUCUAAGCAAGUCAGCAGGUUGCCUAACUUGCAUUUAGUUGCAUGACAAAGAAGGCAAGACAUUUGCGGAGAAGAUGCCAAAAUCGGGGAGUUCCCCACUUGCCAUCGACUUGCUCCCAACUUUACCAUGUCGUGAAGCACGCUCCCUACCUACUGACGACUACACCCUUGAGUCAAUUGUGCUAUCAAUAUAAUUGCUUCCUCAAGAGUCAAGAUGACCUCAAGCCGACCAUGACAUCAAGUUAAUCAUGCUUCGAUCAUGUCCUAAAGUCGAUCGUUGUGUCUGCAAGUUGAUCACGAACUCAUGGAAAUUGCAUUUUCACACUGGCCACGUCCUUAAGUCAUACAUACCCUCAAAUAGGUCGUGCACUCGAGAUGGUCACACUAUCAAGAUGGUUGCAUCUCCAAGUCAACUCCUUGUUCAAAAUGACUGCACCCUCAAGUCAGUUGUCCUCAAGUCAACCGAGCUCCCACGUCGAUCAUCCUUAGUUCAGACACCGUCACAUUUGUUGUGCCUUCAAGUUGGUCCUCCUUAUGUCAAUGGCAACCUAAUAGUAGACCUCUAGUAGCAUUUUUCUUCCUCCCCCAUGGCGAUAUACCAAUACUACAACAAUCCUAUAGAUUAUUCAAAUUGUUCUAGACUGAGAUUAAAUCCUUGGUCCAAUAAUAGCCUUGGACAUCUAUCCUCUAAUUUUUCCUCCUAGGCAACAGGACCCUAGUAAACACUUGG
rnacentral:lncRNA from 1 species